GGAAUUUUCCGCAAUGGGCGCAAGCCUGACGGAGCAAUACCGCGUGAGGGAAGACUGCCCAUGGGUUGUAAACCUCUUUUUUCAGGGAGGAAUUUUGACGUGUACCUGAAGAAUAAGCAUCGGCUAACUCCGUGCCAGCAGCCGCGGUAAGACGGAGGAUGCAAGUGUUAUCCGGAAUCACUGGGCGUAAAGCGUCUGUAGGUGGUUAAACAAGUCAACUGUUAAAUCUUGAAGCUCAACUUCAAAAUCGCAGUCGAAACUGUUUGACUAGAGUAUAGUAGGGGUAAAGGGAAUUUCCAGUGGAGCGGUGAAAUGCGUAGAUAUUGGAAAGAACACCGAUGGCGAAGGCACUUUACUGGGCUAUUACUGACACUCAGAGACGAAAGCUAGGGUAGCAAAUGGGAUUAGAUACCCCAGUAGUC
rnacentral:rRNA from 1 species